UGGAUAAUGUCAGCCCAUAUUUUGUUUGGUUCGAAGGAUAAGUCGUGGUUAGGGAUGCCCAUUUGAGUGUUUGGUUUCGGCUGCUGCAUUACAAAAUAAAACAAAUCAGCCAUGCACACGAGUACAUGAAGCAAAAUUCAGCACACUAGUACAUCAUUCAAACAAUACUCACGGACCCGUGUGACAAGCAGAGCCAAAAAGGAGUGCCCUAUGCAAGAAUGAUGCACACACACAUACCAUGCCCGACACACACGUAUCCAUGCGUGCACAACUGACACUCACCUAUGACAUUCGCGGUUGUGCCGCCAGAGAGAGCCGCCUCCAUUCACAAGGCACCAGCUACCGCAUGCGGCAAUGGCUUGUCUGCGGCCGCCGCCACAACCAUCAUGACUCUGAUGGAUUACAACUCGAGCGGCGGAGAGAAGAAAGGAAGGAUUGGGCAUGUCAAGGAGGAUAUGAAGAAAGCGAGAGGCAUGCCUCCACUCGAGAGGUUGGGCUUUUCUCAGAAGUGAAUGGGGAAAGAGGAGGCCGCGGAAAACAUUUCUUGUUGUGAGUAUGGGAUGGCCAGGUUCAUGACUUUUUGGCAUCACCGCGGAGCCCGGUUUUGAAGAAAUAUUCCAAGCAUCUUGCUAACCAUAUCCUCCUAAUCCCAGCAUGUCCAAGAACCAAACAGAUGACGUCCAUUCAGAAAACAACUAUCCUUUUUCCAAGGAGGGAUAGCCCAACAACCAAAUACACCCCUAACUAAUAUUAAAUAUAAAAAACAUAUAGUAUGUAUUAGUUGGCAGAACGAUUCAUAAAUUUUUAU
rnacentral:lncRNA from 1 species